UUUUUCCUUCUUUUAUUUCAAAUAUACAACUAGUAACUGGAGUAAUUCUGGCCCAGUAUAUUGGCCGCGCAUGUAAGGUCAUGGCUGCCCCCUCUAAUAUAUUAUCUCACAGUAAGGUCCCUUUUCAAAAAAUGCCCCCCCCCCCACGGGUAAAUCUUCAGAAAAGGCCCUGGUUAAUUGAGUACUAAAAAGACUUCAGAAAAUCGAGAUUCAUAAUGAUAAUGACAUGUGGUUUGCAAGAUAAAAUCAGUUCACUUUUUACACUACUUGUGACGUAUGCAUAUCGAAUGCAUAUCGAAGAUAGCGGAAUGCACGCUGCUUUUAUUCAUGCUGCUUCGAAAACCAAGCAAGAUAUACGGAAUUGUUGUACAAGAAGUUUAUAUAUCAUUUUAAAUGUUCUUUCAAAUGAGACAAACUUAGGGACCGGUCAUAAAGUAUGUGUACUGGGGGAGGUGGAGGGUAGGUUGGGGGGGGGAGGGGUACGAAACAAAUUAUCUAACCUUGAGGGGGUAUGAGACGAAUUACGACUUUUUUGGGGGGGGGGAGGUACAAAACAAUAAAAGAGUCGAAUACUAAGUCUAUGAUUAAUAUAACUACAGAUUUUUAUGAUACAAUAUACUUUAAAGAAAUCGAGUGUAUGUUCCUAAAUGUUCCUAAUAAAUUGCAAUGUAGCACAGUAGUAUUUAUGAAAGUGUCUCGAUCGGAACCUAUUAGUUUGACAUCUAUGCAACCUGAACAGUCUUUGAUUACGUUAUUUUACCGUCGGGUGGCUCCCUUUCUCGUUUACUUUUAGAGGUACGAAACAUUUCAUCUCCUUUGAGGUGGAGGGCCCUCCGACGCUUUUCGAGGGGUGCCAAAUUUUAUGAUCGUAUUUUGGAAUACCCUCCACCCUCCCAGUACACAUACUUUAUGCCAUAUCCCUAUACGUUUUGACUUGCCAUGGCAAAUCAGUGAGAAAAUGAUUUAUUUCGCAGUAUACAAAAACGAUAGAGUGAGAAGCCAAAAGAAACACAUGGUAAGUGCUAAAUUAAAACAGAAGAUAUUUUGAUUUUUACGUUUUGAUUUCUGACAGUUUAAAACUUGUAUUAAACUAUUGUGCCGUCAUCAUUUCGCCUGUCAGUAUUUCAAGCGUGCAAGUGACCAUGCAUUUGAGUUCUUCUGCAUAUUUUUUAUGUAUAUUAUUAUUAAUAAGUAAUUACUUAAUGUACGACUACUUUUACUAAAAUUUGUCCGGGAAUGCAAUGGGUAUAGUGAUGGGUCACUUACAUAAGUCAUGUUGCCAUGGUAACUCAAGUUCAUGAUGAUGUGCCGUUUUUUAUGUUUUAACGUUUAGUUUUAGAAGUGAAGAACAUGCACAUAACACUUCAAUAUCGAAAUAUAUAGAUUAAAAAACUAAGAUUUUAGCCAUUAGAAAUAUUUUUUGAUAUUAAUAUAAACUCGGCGAGAUUUGGCUUAUGAUCAAGUCAUAAUGACGUCACCACGUGUUGCCAUGGUACCAGAAGUUGCAUUUCAGCUAACCUGAAGUUCAGGCCUUAAUUUGAAAUAGGGCCUGACACAAAACCUGUCUAGACCGUGGGACGCCCACAUGUUAUUUUUAGACACACAUGCAAUAUGAUUGACAAGUGUUGUAGAUUUCGUCACACAAAAAAAUUAUAUUCUCAUGAACAUGUCCGCAGAGCAUAUUGCUUUUUAAUUAAACUUAAAAAUUCAAGGUACUUUUAUAUAAUUAAGAGUCAGUUUCUCUAUUUAACCGAACAGGCGAACAGCAAACAAAUAUUUAAUUAGUCAGUUCUGUGCACGGCUUGACUGCCAAGCUUUCUCAAGGUCUCAAUUUGCUGGACGCGGAUAUACUCUAACGACUAACGGGCUAAUAACAGCAACAAUUAAAUUCUCAAUCAUACCACGAAGAAGGCGAUGUAGCUCAGAAAACAACGCCGGUAGGACCUGAUAUUAAAAAUAAGACUUUUGCCGGCGAAGCAAGUAGGCAGAACAUCUUGGCUGUCAACAACAAGCUUUCGAAUACAGGACUAGUUUGGCUGUUCUUUCAGCGUCGUGUGUGUCCAAAAUUCGUCAAAGAUUUUGAUGAAGCCCUUUCAAAAUACUGUUUGUUUGAUUUAUUUUCUUCCAUAAAGCAUAAAAGAAAAGAAAUUCGAAGAAAUCGAUAAUGGAAUUUGUUACGUGCGUUUGACCUUUAUAUUAAUUCUCGCCUUGACCGAGCUAUUUUUAAAACUGUUGUUUAUAUGAACUUGCAACCAAUCAAAAUCCUUCAUGAUGCUGAUCAACCAAUCAGAUUUCCCGUCCACCAGGUGGACGGGAAUCCCACACUUUAGAUAGGUUUUCUGUCAGGCCCUAUUCUGUGAUAGGGGCUGAACUUCAGGUUACAUUUCAGCUUGUACUUGCACAAGCAUCAUUCUAUGAAAGUUUCAUUGUAAUGACUAUUUAGCCUUUUUAUAUAUUAGCCGCGGGCACAUUCCGCCCACCCCCCAGUUUCAAAAGACAAAAAAGCCCAGUCUGGAUAGGGUUAAUGCAUCAUAUAUUUCAUAAUUUUAAUACUAACAUUGUUAACAUGAUUACGUUGUAAUCACAAACUCUGUAUAGUUGGUACGUUAGGAGCUUUCCUGCUCUCUUUUUGUAAUAUUCCGUAAUUAUUUUAAUUUAUAUGAUAUUUUGAUAAUAUAUCGUAAUUUCGUAGUUGCAUGCAUGGUUAGGUUUGCAACUUUCAAUUGUUGUAUUUUGUUUAUACCAUGAAUGUACGAAAGUUUAAUAAAGACACGAUCAGUAUUUAGUACCAAGGUAUCCAGGUGCCAUGGUUUCACCAAAGCGGCAGAGAAAGCCGGUCAGCCAUUGUUUUGAAAUAAGUGAAAACCCUGCAGGAUAAGAGGCAAACCUACUUUAUAGUUACAUAUAAACGCAUAAAAUCGUACGUAUCUCGGAAAUUUUUAGUGAAAAACCCAUAGGAUGUCGGUGAAAAUGACGAUUAAUACUCCGCACAAAAUAAUAACACACUUCAGCAUAGUAAAGAAGUUCACGAAUAUUGUAAAAUGGUACUAUUGUUUUCUUUAUUAACACACUUGGAAGCUUUUUGCAAUAAAUAUCAUAAAAU
rnacentral:lncRNA from 1 species